GACGGUACUUGAUGAAUAAGCCACGGCUAAUUCCGUGCCAGCAGCCGCGGUAAUACGGGAGUGGCAAGCGUUAUCCGGAAUUAUUGGGCGUAAAGCGUCCGCAGGCGGCCUUGUAAGUCUGUCGUCAAAGCGUGGAGCUUAACUCCAUUUAAGCGAUGGAAACUGCAAGGCUAGAGUGUGGUAGGGGCAGAGGGAAUUCCCGGUGUAGCGGUGAAAUGCGUAGAUAUCGGGAAGAACACCAGUGGCGAAGGCGCUCUGCUGGGCCAUAACUGACGCUCAUGGACGAAAGCCAGGGGAGCGAAAGGGAUUAGAUACCCCUGUAGUCCUGGCCGUAAACGAUGAACACUAGGUGUCGGGGGAAUCGACCCCCUCGGUGUCGUAGCCAACGCGUUAAGUGUUCCGCCUGGGGAGUACGCACGCAAGUGUGAAACUCAAAGGAAUUGACGGGGGCCCGCACAAGCGGUGGAGUAUGUGGUUUAAUUCGAUGCAACGCGAAGAACCUUACCAGGGUUUGACAUCCUGCGAAUCCUUUGGGAACGAGGGAGUGCCUUCGGGAGCGCAGAGACAGGUGGUGCAUGGCUGUCGUCAGCUCGUGUCGUGAGAUGUUGGGCUAAGUCCCGCAACGAGCGCAACCCACGUCGUUAGUUGCCAGCAUUUAGUUGGGCACUCUAGCGAGACCGCCGGUGAUAAACCGGAGGAAGGUGUGGAUGACGUCAAGUCAUCAUGCCCCUUACAUCCUGGGCUACACACGUACUACAAUGCUACGGACAAAGGGCAGCAAACUCGCGAGAGCUAGCAAAUCCCAUAAACCGUGGCUCAGUUCAGAUCGUAGGCUGCAACUCGCCUACGUGAAGGAGGAAUCGCUAGUAAUCGCAGGUCAGCAUACUGCGGUGAAUACGUUCCCGGGCCUUGUACACACCGCCCGUCACACCAUGGAAGUUGGCCACGCCCGAAGCCGUUACUCCAACCCUUGUGGAGGAGGACGU
rnacentral:rRNA from 1 species